ensembl:miRNA
AUUAGGUUGCUGCAAAAGUCGUUGUGGUUUUUGUCAUUCAAAGUGGCAAAAACUGCAGUUACUUUUGCACCAA